rnacentral:tRNA from 2 species
CGGUGUGUAGCGCAGUCUGGUAGCGCAUUCGCUUUGGGAGCGAAGGGUCGUAGGUUCGAAUCCUACUACACCGACCA